CCUACGGGAGGCAGCAGUGGGGAAUAUUGGACAAUGGGCGCAAGCCUGAUCCAGCCAUGCCGCGUGAGUGAUGAAGGCCUUAGGGUUGUAAAGCUCUUUUACCAGGGAUGAUAAUGACAGUACCUGGAGAAUAAGCUCCGGCUAACUCCGUGCCAGCAGCCGCGGUAAU
rnacentral:rRNA from 1 species